rnacentral:rRNA from 1 species
GAUGAACGCUGGCGGCGUGCCUAACACAUGCAAGUCGAGCGAACGGACGAGAAGCUUGCUCUUCUGAUGUUAGCGGCGGACGGGUGAGUAACACGUGGAUAACCUACCUAUAAGACUGGGAUAACUUCGGGAAACCGGAGCUAAUACCGGAUAAUAUUUUGAACCGCAUGGUUCAAAAGUGAAAGACGGUCUUGCUGUCACUUAUAGAUGGAUCCGCGCUGCAUUAGCUAGUUGGUAAGGUAACGGCUUACCAAGGCAACGAUGCAUAGCCGACCUGAGAGGGUGAUCGGCCACACUGGAACUGAGACACGGUCCAGACUCCUACGGGAGGCAGCAGUAGGGAAUCUUCCGCAAUGGGCGAAAGCCUGACGGAGCAACGCCGCGUGAGUGAUGAAGGUCUUCGGAUCGUAAAGCUCUGUUAUUAGGAAAGAACAUAUGUGUAAGUAACUGUGCACAUCUUGACGGUACCUAAUCAAAAAGCCACGGCUAACUACGUG